UUUGACCACACGAUAGCUAAGACCCAAACUGGGAUUAGAUACCCCACUAUGCUUAGCCCUAAACUUAGAUAGUUAGCCUAAACAAAACUAUCCGCCAGAGAACUACUAGCAACAGCUUAAAACUCAAAGGACUUGGCGGUGCUUUAUAUCCCUCUAGAGGAGCCUGUCCUAUAAUCGAUAAACCCCGAUAUACCUCACCAUCUCUUGCUAAUUCAGCCUAUAUACCGCCAUCUUCAGCAAACCCUUAAAAGGAACAAAAGUAAGCAUAAGCAUCUUAACAUAAAAAAGUUAGGUCAAGGUGUAGCCUAUGAGAUGGGAAGUAAUGGGCUACAUUUUCUAAAACUAGAACAUUCACGAAAAUCCUUAUGAAACUAAGUAUUAAAGGAGGAUUUAGUAGUA
rnacentral:rRNA from 1 species